rnacentral:lncRNA from 14 species
UUUUUGCUGUUCUUGCUUGCUGUGGCAUUGCAGCUCAUCCCAGUUGGCCCUUGCUAAACUGUGCUACUUGUACUUACUAAGGUAUUGGGUUGUUUUUCACUUGCAGCUACAACAAGCGUAUUAAUGACAUCAGGGAAUGCAAAGAAGCUGCUGUUUCACAUGCUGGUUCAAUGCACAGAGAGAGACGCAAGUUUCUACGUUCUGCACUCAAAGAACUGGCUACUGUCCUGUCUGAUCAGCCAGGCUUGUUGGGUCCCAAGGCACUUUUUGUAUUUAUGGCAUUAUCCUUUGCUCGUGAUGAAAUUAUUUGGCUUCUUCGUCAUGCAGAUAAUAUGCCAAAGAAGAGCGCAGAUGAUUUCAUAGAUAAGUAUGUUAAUUUUCAGUGUGAUACCUUAAAUUAUUGAGAAUUUCACCCAAAAAAAUGCAUUUGAAGAGAAGGGAAAUCUCAGAGAAGUUUGCCUGUAUGGAACAGUUGGGACUGUUCAAAAAAUCCUAACCUGGAAAUACUAAAAUUACCAUCAAACCAGAAAACUUAAAGUAUUCUAUUAGAAAAUGGAGCACAUCAGAGGAAAUUCAUUCUCUGCAGAAAAUUUAAUUAUGAAAUACAAAUAUUGUAUAAAAGUUGAAUGUGUUUUUUCUCCUGAAUAAGCAAAAAUAAAGCUUUAUCAUGUGUCUUCA